CGCAAAAGUGUCGAAAAACCUUUGGGCUACUCUUGAGCCGAAAGUGAGCCUCAUAAAAAUAGUAUAGACCCGUCCAUUUAAUGCCAUCCAGGUGCCAUAAUGACGGGUGAAUUGGUAGUAACUAGAAUGCAUUCACAAUAUCCAUCUUGCUAAGCCAGACGCCUAUGCCUGCAGGUAUGAUAGUAGUUAUCUCUGCUUGUGUUUUUUCCC